AAACAUUUCUCAAGCACUCAAGUCCUUCACCGUGCGACACUACUACCCUUCUCUCCUAUUUCCAUUCUUUUUCCAAUCUUAAGCCAAGCACCCAUUAUUUUUUAUUCUCAAGAGGAAAAUAACAAGACAAGGAUUAGUGUUCUCUCUAGUUCCCUACACCGAACCCACCUCUUCUCUUCUCCCUUUUUGUGUUUUGGGAAGGGAUUCACCAAGGUAAUGACGAAGUGGCAGCAGGGCAUUACUGUAAAAGGGAGAGGUAAACACUUAGUAUCUUCCCUGUUGGUUCGACCUUACAUGGAUGAUGGGUUAUGUUUAUGGUUGUUGUUUUUAUGUUAGGAUGGGUCCCUUGUUGGGACGUUUUGUCAGGUUUGAAUUUAAACCAUGUAUCUCUUGGUAUGGUUUAAUCGUUAUGGUAGGGUGAUGAUAAAUCCUUAUACAUUGAUUUAGUGCCUUCUUAUAUGUAAGGUAGAGAUGGAGUUCCUUCCUCACUAGAACAAUUAUGUUUUUAUGAAUGUAUGAUGGACUCUGAGAGUC